CCCUACGGGGCGCAGCAGGCGCGAAAACUGCACAAUGCUGGAAACAGCGAUGCGGGAAUUCCAAGUGCCAGCACAGAGUGUUGGCUGUUCCAUUGUCUAAAAAGCAUAGGAAGUAAGGGCUGGGUAAGACGGGUGCCAGCCGCCGCGGUAAUACCUGCAGCCCGAGUGGUGGCCGUUAUUAUUGGGCCUAAAACGUCCGUAGCCUGUUUGGUAGAUGCCUGUGUAAAUCGAACGGCUUAACCGUUCGAACUGCGGGUAGACCGCCAGACUUGGGACCGGGAGAGUCACGAAGUACUCCGGGGGUAGAGGUGAAAUCCUGUAAUCCA
rnacentral:rRNA from 1 species